rnacentral:lncRNA from 1 species
GGGAAGGUAGAAAAGGCAUGGGAAAGUCGAUUUAGGAGAUAAUGUAUUGCAUUUAAAGAACUUGAAUGCCAUUACUUUUCAUCACUUAACUUUUCAAAGAACACUUUCAGCUUCCUUAUUUGCAUGUUUCAUUGUUUUCCAGCCUUUACACUGUAUGCUUAAAAUGCAAAUGGAAUAAUAUAAGAAUAAUGAGAAGUAAUACUUGGAAGUGUUCUGAGAAAAUGCUGCAAAAAGGGUCUGGUUUCCAUCUGAUUGAAAGGAGCCACCGACACUCCUGAUAUUCCUGCUUGUGGGCUAGUUAACGUUGUGAGUACGUGUUCCCACUGGCAACCAAGAAGCUUCCUCCAGGAGGGACAUGGGUAUCACCCAUGGAAGACACCACAGAAGACAAAGCUUAAGGCAACCUGAUCCCCAACACCUAUCUCGGUCAAGGUCUUUGAUGGAUAAGAACGUUAGUGCUUCUGCAGUCUUCAACUCCUAAUCUUGUGCAUGGGAAUCUGAAACAGGAAAUCUGAAUUGUCAUCUGCUGAGCAUACACUGUGGUACAUUGGACACCAUACAAUCCAUUUUCACUGCAGCAAGUCUUUGCAGUAAGUAGUACUGAUUUUAUUAUGCAAGUAUG